rnacentral:rRNA from 1 species
CAUGGGCAGGUUGAAGGUUGGGUAACACUAACUGGAGGACCGAACCGACUAAUGUUGAAAAAUUAGCGGAUGACUUGUGGCUGGGGGUGAAAGGCCAAUCAAACCGGGAGAUAGCUGGUUCUCCCCGAAAGCUAUUUAGGUAGCGCCUCGUGAAUUCAUCUCCGGGGGUAGAGCACUGUUUCGGCAAGGGGGUCAUCCCGACUUACCAACCCGAUGCAAACUGCGAAUACCGGAGAAUGUUAUCACGGGAGACACACGGCGGGUGCUAACGUCCGUCGUGAAGAGGGAAACAACCCAGACCGCCAGCUAAGGUCCCAAAGUCAUGGUUAAGUGGGAAACGAUGUGGGAAGGCCCAGACAGCCAGGAUGUUGGCUUAGAAGCAGCCAUCAUUUAAAGAAAGCGUAAUAGCUCACUGGUCGAGUCGGCCUGCGCGGAAGAUGUAACGGGGCUAAACCAUG